UACGUAGGGUCCGAGCGUUGUCCGGAAUCACUGGGCGUAAAGGGCGCGUAGGCGGCUCAUGAAGGCUGUGGUGAAAGUCCGGGGCUCAACCUCGGAUCGGCCGUGGCGACUCGUGGGCUGGAGCACUGUAGAGGCGGGUGGAAUUCCGGGUGUAGCGGUGGAAUGCGUAGAGAUCCGGAAGAACACCAGUGGCGAAGGCGGCCCGCUGGGCAGUGGCUGACGCUGAGGCGCGACA
rnacentral:rRNA from 1 species